UCUUGGGUAUUACUCUUGGCUCAAAUAGAAAAUCAUUUAGUAAUGAGCAGGUUUCUAAUAAAUCUAUUGAAGAUCGCCAACAAUCAUUAUCGCCCGUUUCAGUUGUUGACCCGAAAAAGG